CGGACGGGCGAGUAACACGUGGAUAACCUACCUAUAAGACUGGGAUAACUUCGGGAAACCGGAGCUAAUACCGGAUAAUAUAUUGAACCGCAUGGUUCAAUAGUGAAAGACGGUUUUGCUGUCACUUAUAGAUGGAUCCGCGCCGCAUUAGCUAGUUGGUAUGGUAACGGCUUACCAAGGCGACGAUGCGUAGCCGACCUGAGAGGGUGAUCGGCCACACUGGAACUGAGACACGGUCCAG
rnacentral:rRNA from 1 species